rnacentral:rRNA from 1 species
ACUGCUCAGUAACACGUGGACAACCUACCCUUAGGACUGGGAUAAACCUGGGAAACUGGGUAUAAUACCGGAUAGGUCUCGAAUGCUGGAAUGCAUCGAGACUUAAAGCUCCGGCGCCUAAGGAUGGGUCUGCGGCCUAUCAGGGUAGUAGUGGGUGUAAUGUACCUACUAGCCUACGACGGGUACGGGUCGUGAGAGCGAGAGCCCGGAGAUGGAUUCUGAGACACGAAUCCAGGCCCUACGGGGUGCAGCAGGCGCGAAAACUUUACAAUGCUGGAAACAGCGAUAGGGGGACUUUGAGUGCCAGGAUACAAUCUUGGCUGUCGUAAUGCCUAAAAAGCAUUGCAUAGCAAGGGCCGGGCAAGACCGGUGCCAGCCGCCGCGGUAACACCGGCGGCUCGAGUGGUAACCGCUAUUAUUGGGUCUAAAGGGUCUGUAGCCGGCUGGAUAAGUCUCUUGGGAAAUCCGACAGCUUAACUGUCGGGCUUUCAGGAGAUACUGUCCGGCUCGAGACCGGGAGAGGUGAGAGGUACUUCAUGGGUAGGGGUGAAAUCUUGUAAUCCUUGAAGGACCACCAGUGGCGAAGGCGUCUCACCAGAACGGAUCUGACGGCAGGGGACGAAAGCUAGGGGCACGAACCGGAUUAGAUACCCGGGUAGUCCUAGCCGUAAACGAUACUCGCUAGGUGUCAGGCAUGGCGUGACCGUGUCUGGUGCCGCAGGGAAGCCGUGAAGCGAGCCACCUGGGAAGUACGGCCGCAAGGCUGAAACUUAAAGGAAUUGGCGGGGGAGCAC